UCUGUAGGCGGAUUAUUAAGUCGGAUGUGAAAUCCCCGGGCUCAACCUGGGAACGGCAUUCGAUACUGGUAGUCUAGAGUGUGCAAGAGGAUGGGGGGAAUUCCUGGUGUAGCAGUGAAACUGCGUAGAGAUCAGGAGGAACAUCAAUGGCGAAGGCACCUUUCUGGGGCAACACUGACGCUGAGAGACGAAAGCGUGGGGGAGCAAACA
rnacentral:rRNA from 1 species